UACGUAGGGUGCAAGCGUUAAUCGGAAUUACUGGGCGUAAAGCGUGCGCAGGCGGUUUUGUAAGUCAGAUGUGAAAUCCCCGGGCUUAACCUGGGAACUGCGUUUGAAACUACAAGGCUAGAGUGUAGCAGAGGGGGGUGGAAUUCCACGUGUAGCAGUGAAAUGCGUAGAGAUGUGGAGGAACACCGAUGGCGAAGGCAGCCCCCUGGGUUAACACUGACGCUCAGGCACGAAAGCGUGGGGAGCAAACAGGAGUAGAAACCCGUAGUC
rnacentral:rRNA from 1 species